rnacentral:rRNA from 1 species
UACGUAGGGCGCAAGCGUUGUCCGGAAUUAUUGGGCGUAAAGAGCUCGCAGGCGGCCUGUUGCGUCCGCUGUGAAAGCCCGGGGCUUAACCCCGGGUCGGCAGUGGAUACGGGCAGGCUAGAGGUAGGUAGGGGAGAAUGGAAUUCCCGGUGUAGCGGUGAAAUGCGCAGAUAUCGGGAGGAACACCGGUGGCGAAGGCGGUUCUCUGGGCCUUACCUGACGCUGAGGAGCGAAAGCGUGGGGAGCGAACAGG